rnacentral:tRNA from 1 species
AUUCGAGUAGCUUAUAAUUAGAGCAUGACACUGAAGAUGUUAGGGAGAUUAAUUAAUUCUCGAAUA